rnacentral:tRNA from 1 species
GCCCUCGUAGUUCAAUGGAUAGAACGAUUCCGUCCUAAGGAAAAAAUGGGGGUCCGAUUCCCUCCGAGGGCA